GAUGAACGCUGGCGGCGUGCCUAAUACAUGCAAGUAGAACGCUGAAGGAAGGAGCUUGCUCUUUCCGGAUGAGUUGCGAACGGGUGAGUAACGCGUAGGUAACCUGCCUGGUAGCGGGGGAUAACUAUUGGAAACGAUAGCUAAUACCGCAUAACAGUAGAUGUUGCAUGAUAUCUACUUAAAAGGGGCAAUUGCACCACUACCAGAUGGACCUGCGUUGUAUUAGCUAGUUGGUGAGGUAACGGCUCACCAAGGCGACGAUACAUAGCCGACCUGAGAGGGUGAUCGGCCACACUGGGACUGAGACACGGCCCAGACUCCCACGGGAGGCAGCAGGAGGGAAUCUUCGGAAAUGGACGGAAGUCUGACCGAGCAACGCCGCGGGAGGGAAGAAGGGUUUCGGAUCGUAAAGCUCUGUUGUAAGAGAAGAACGAGUGUGAGAGUGGAAAGUUCACACUGUGACGGUAUCUUACCAGAAAGGGACGGCUAACUACGUG
rnacentral:rRNA from 1 species